rnacentral:lncRNA from 1 species
UUGAAAAAAAUUACUCCCUCACAAAAACUGUCAUAAAUUAUGUGAAAUUAAAAUGAGAUAAAACCUAUUAAUUCUUUCCGCUUUUGGCAGGUUCCAUUUUGGACAGUUGUGAGAAAGAUAUGCAUUUCUUUCAACAGAAGUCCAGAGGCACUGGAAAUAUUCUUACUAAAGAAAUGCCAAAAAUUGCGUUUCAAGAGAAGUCAAGGAAAUGAAAUCCUUUCACCGUAAAAGCACUAAACAGUGAGCCAUGGAUAAUAUUUCAGUGCUUCUUAUGCUUCUAUAUGAUUUUUAAAACUAUUCUUUAAUAUUUAAUUUCUAGA